UCAGAACUGCUCCUUGGCAGGGGGCAGAUCCAAAGGCAAGAGGACAUGAGGUUGAGGAUGCCCAUCUCCAGGUAACUUGACAGUUAUGAGGAGAGAAGAGAACAAGAGCAUCACAAACCGUGUUGACCCGACCUGGGUAGCAAAAAAAGAUCAGACCGAAGGACACCCUGUUACAAAACUCCGCAUUUAGGGGCAGAGAGGCAGUGCAUGUGGCUGGAAACGAGACCAAAGAAUAAAAGACAAAAAGAAGGAAGAAAGAAGAAUUCAGUAGUUAAAGAAUGAGUAGCUCUCCACCUCCAACUGCGCCCUUAGCAAUCCUGCAGGCAGAUCACAUGGGCAAGAUGACCUCUGAAGAAUGUCAGCCAGCCUGCACACAAUGGAGAAGGAUGCAGAACCCAACCUCCUGCCUCAUUGACUCAUUGAGAUUCUUCCCCCUUUUCUCCCUUGGAACACUGUCCUGGCUGAGCAGAAUCUUCAGAGUUGUUCUCUGGACACGAGUCCACCUUCUCCCCAGGUGGCCAGCUUUUCUGAUUAAAGCACCCUUCUUUUCUACUGACACUUGUCUCUCAAAUUAUUGGCAUUUGAGCAGCGAGCAGCCUAACCUGAGUUCAAUAACAAGGAGAACAGCCCGUCUGAAAGUGGAUGGAUAAGAAAAUAGUUGCAGGCAACUCCACCCUCCCUUCCUCCCUUCCUUCCCUCAUUUCUUCCUUUCUUCCUUCCUUCAUUGUUUUUGCAUAUUUAACCAUUACUUAUAUGUUGCCAAAGCAAUUGCAUUGUUAGGUUAAAUAAUAACUACAAGUUAAAAAAAAAGAAACCAAUCAAAGCAAGCAACCAUGAUGGAGAGAGCUGAAUACAGACUGCAUUAUUGAUUAUCUGCCCAUAUAUCCUCAUUGUGAUCUUGUAUAGGCAGCCAAGAAAAUAACACACUUUCAGAGGAAAGCACAUUUUAGCACUGCUAUGAAAAAAAUAAAUAAAUGAAAAUAAAUAAAUAAAUAUAUAAAUAGCCAUCUAAUUAUGAAAAAAUGUACUAAUUUUUUUAAAUAAUAAGCUUGUCAAAAAAUAGAUAAAUUAUAAAUUGUAAUAGAUAAUUACUAUUGUGAGGCAGUUUGAGGUAGGAGAUGAGAGAAGCUGGUCAGACAUGAAAUAAUUUGAACUUGAAAGCGAGGUCAGGGUUAGAGAAUUUAGAUGCUGUUUGCUUGGUGGGAAAGAAUUGCCUUCAGUGAAGACAGUGUAAGGAAGAGCAGAAAAGAGGAGAAAACAGCUUUGGUAAAGGGACAAUUUUUACGUUAAAAAAUGAACAUCAAGUCUAUACACAAAGGGCAAAACACUAAUCAAAAGUUGUACAAUUAUUUGAUGUUUUAGUUGAUGAGUAGAAUUCAAGCCAAAUGGGUGUAUUUCCUCCAUCGUCAAAGGUUUUAUCACAGGGAGGAAAAGAGGCCAUUUAAAUUAUCUAGAUAUUUAUUUUACCCCUAUUAUAUUAAAUUAGCAUUCCUAAAGCCUCAAUGGUCUUUUGCUUGUAGAGUGAGGUAAGUCAGAAAGAGAAAAACAAAUACCCUAUGCUAACACAUAUAUAUGGAAUCUAAAAAAAAUUGGUUCUGACAAACGAAGGGACAGGACAGGAAUAAAGACGCAGACAUAGAGGAUGGACUUGAGGACGGGGGAAGGGGAAAUGGUAAGCUGGGACGAAGUGAGAGAGUGGCAAGGACAUAUGCACACUACCAAAUGUAAAAUAGCUAGCUAGUGGGAAGCAGCCGCAUAGCACAGGGAGAUCAGCUCGGUGCUUUGUGACCACCUAGAGGGGUGGGAUAGGGAGGGUGGGAGGGAGGGAGAUGCAAGAGGGAAGAGAUAUGGGAACAUAUGUAUAUGUAUAACUGAUUCACUUUGUUAUAAAGCAGAAACUAACACACCAUUGUAAAGCAAUUAUACUCCAAUAAAGAUGUUAAAAAAAAAAAAAAAGAUAA